UAUGGCCUCAGUAGUUUAUACAAGAAGACAAAAAUAAGACUCUUCUUGCACUGUUUGGGAAAGUAUAUUGUGAUUAAUUUGUUCAGUAAAACAAUAUUUACGGUGAGAAACAAACAGAAGGAAACUCCACAGGAUAUAAAUUCCAAUUCAAGCCGAAACAAAAUGUUGUUUACAGGAAGCGUGGUCAGUGUUUUUGAUUGGAUAAGGCCUCAGGUCACACUCUCUACAGUGUUUUUGAUUGGAUAAGGCCUCAGGUCACACUCUCUACAGUGUUUUUGAUUGGAUAAGGCCUCAGGUCACACUCUCUACAGUGUUUUUGAUUGGAUAAGGCCUCAGGUCACACUCUCUACAGUGUUUUUGAUUGGAUAAGGCCUCAGGUCACACUCUCUACAGUGUUUUUGAUUGGAUAAGGCCUCAGGUCACACUCUCUACAGUGUUUUUGAUUGGAUAAGGCCUCAGGUCACACUCUCUACAGUGUUUUUGAUUGGAUAAGGCCUCAGGUCACACUCUCUACAGUGUUUUUGAUUGGAUAAGGCCUCAGGUCACACUCUCUACAGUGUUUUUGAUUGGAUAAGGCCUCAGGUCACACUCUCUACAGUGUUUUUGAUUGGAUAAGGCCUCAGGUCACACUCUCUACAGUGUUUUUGAUUGGAUAAGGCCUCAGGUCACACUCUCUACAGUGUUUUUGAUUGGAUAAGGCCUCAGGUCACACUCUCUACAGUGUUUUUGAUUGGAUAAGGCCUCAGGUCACACUCUCUACAGUGUUUUUGAUUGGAUAAGGCCUCAGGUCACACUCUCUACAGUGUUUUUGAUUGGAUAAGGCCUCAGGUCACACUCUCUCCAGCUGAGUACAUAGACAUGCAUUAAUACAUAUGUUUAUAUUCUGAAUAACAACGAC